AUUCCCCCAGACCAGCAGAGGCUGAUUUUUGCUGGGAAGCAGCUUGAGGAUGGCCGCACCCUUGCAGACUACAACAUCCAGAAGGAGUCCACCCUUCACCUUGUCCUCAGACUCAGAGGUGGCAUGCAGAUUUUUGUCAAGACCUUGACUGGGAAGACCAUCACUCUGGAGGUUGAGAGUUCUGACACCAUUGACAAUGUCAAGGCCAAAAUUCAGGACAAGGAGGGAAUUCCCCCGGACCAGCAGAGGCUGAUCUUCGCCGGGAAGCAGUUGGAGGAUGGGAGGACCCUUGCUGACUACAAUAUCCAGAAGGAGUCCACCCUUCACCUUGUCCUGCGUCUUCGUGGUGGUUUUUAAGAUCCUUCUAUGGUCUUGUCUUCAAAAUUCAGAACUUGCUGUGUAUGGGUCUCUGUUGGCCCGAUAAAUAAAUUUGUUUUAUUUUUAUUGUUGUCAAUAACUUUGUAAUCCAUUAAUAUCAA
rnacentral:lncRNA from 1 species